GUGGAUGUAGUUCAGCUGGUAGAGCACCUGUUUGUGGCACAGGAUGUCGCGGGUUCGAGCCCCGUCAUCCACCCCA
rnacentral:tRNA from 1 species